AGUGAAGGUAGAGGUGCGAACUUCAAGAGUAAUAAUUCGGAGAAGAAUGAGCUUCAGGGAAGAAUUAUGAAAGGGAUAGAUCGCCGAAGUAAGGAAAGUUCUCAUGACUUUCUUUGCUGGUUUUGCAUUGAAUAAAUGUAAGACUGUCAAAACAAGGAACUGUUUUGGAGAGCUAUCUCACUG
rfam:Bacillus circulans strain RIT379 contig8, whole genome shotgun sequence.